CCGACAGGUCCGGGAAACCCGUUGAACCCCGGUCGUGCUAGGGAUAGGGAAUUGCAAUUAUUUCCCUUGAACGAGGAAUUCCCAGUAAGCGCGAGUCAUUAGCUCGCGUUGAUUACGUCCCUGCCCUUUGUACACACCGCCCGUCGCUACUACCGAUUGAAUGGUUUAGUGAGGUCCUCCGAUUGGACCCGGUCCGGGCGGCGACGUCCGAGCCGGCGUCCGAGAAGACGAUCUAACUUGAUCAUUUAGAGGAAGUAAAAGUCGUAACAAGGUUUCCGUAGGUGAACCUGCGGAAGGAUCAUUA
rfam:Ciona savignyi cont_30723, whole genome shotgun sequence.